CCUACGGGCGGCUGCAGUGGGGAAUAUUGCGCAAUGGGCGCAAGCCUGAUCCAGCAACGCCGCGUGAAGGAAGAAGGCUUUCGGGUUGUAAACUUCUUUUCUCAGGGACGAAGAUAGUGACGGUACCUGCGGAAUAAGCCACGGCUAACUACGUGCCAGCAGCCGCGGCAAUACGUAGGUGGCAAGCGUUAUUCGGAUUUAUUGGGUGUAUAGGGCGUGUAGGCGGGAGCGCAAGUCAGAUGUGAAAACUCAGGGCUCAACCCUGAGCCUGCAUUUGAUACUGUGUUUCUUGAGUGCUGGAGAGGCAAUCGGAAUUCCGUGUGUAGCGGUGAAAUGCGUAGAUAUACGGAGGAACACCAGUGGCGAAGGCGGAUUGCUGGACAGUAACUGACGCUGAGGCGCGAAAGCGUGGGGAGCAAACAGGAUUAGAUACCCGUGUAGUC
rnacentral:rRNA from 1 species